rnacentral:rRNA from 1 species
AUUGAACGCUGGCGGCAGGCCUAACACAUGCAAGUCGAGCGGAUGAAGGGAGCUUGCUCCUGGAUUCAGCGGCGGACGGGUGAGUAAUGCCUAGGAAUCUGCCUGGCAGUGGGGGAUAACGUCCGGAAACGGGCGCUAAUACCGCAUACGUCCUGAGGGAGAAAGUGGGGGAUCUUCGGACCUCACGCUAUCAGAUGAGACUAGGUCGCAUUAGCUAGUUGGUGAGGUAAAGGCCUACCAAGGCGACGAUCCGUAACUGGUCUGAGAGGAUGAUCAGUCACACUGGAACUGAGACACGGUCCAGACUCCUACGGGAGGCAGCAGUGGGGAAUAUUGGACAAUGGGCGAAAGCCUGAACCAGCCAUGCCGCGUGUGUGAAGAAGGUCUUCGGAUUGUAAAAAACUUUAAGUUGGGAGGAAGCGCAGUAAGUUAAUACAUUGGUGUUUUGACGUUACCUACAGAAAAAGCACCGGCUAACUUCGUG